rnacentral:rRNA from 1 species
GACGUAGGGUGCGAGCGUUGUCCGGAAUCACUGGGCGUAAAGGGCGCGUAGGCGGCUCAUGAAGGCUGUGGUGAAAGUCCGGGGCUCAACCUCGGAUCGGCCGUGGCGACUCGUGGGCUGGAGCACUGUAGAGGCGGGUGGAAUUCCGGGUGUAGCGGUGGAAUGCGUAGAGAUCCGGAAGAACACCAGUGGCGAAGGCGGCCCGCUGGGCAGUGGCUGACGCUGAAGCGCGACAGCGUGGGGAGCAAACGAGG